rnacentral:rRNA from 1 species
UACAUAGGUCCCGAGCGUUGUCCGGAUUUAUUGGGCGUAAAGCGAGCGCAGGUGGUUUAUUAAGUCUGGUGUAAAAGGCAGUGGCUCAACCAUUGUAUGCAUUGGAAACUGGUAGACUUGAGUGCAGGAGAGGAGAGUGGAAUUCCAUGUGUAGCGGUGAAAUGCGUAGAUAUAUGGAGGAACACCAGUGGCGAAAGCGGCUCUCUGGUCUGUAACUGACGCUGAGGUUCGAAAGCGUGGGUAGCAAACAGG